rnacentral:ncRNA from 1 species
CAAUUUUAAUGCUGCUUUAUCAUUCAUUGGCAAAAUAGUCUGAACUGAGCCUUUACCAAAGGUGCGUUCACCCAUUAUAAUUGCACGGUGGUGAUCUUGUAAGGCACCAGCAACAAUCUCAGACGCUGAAGCGGAACCACCAUUUACCAGAACUAUCAUGGGCGCAUUCUCCAAUAUAUCUGUUGGUUUUGCUGAAAAUGUAAGUUUUGAGUCUUUGAUUCGACCCUCAGUAUAAACAAUCAAUCCUUCAUCAAUAAACAGAUCAGAGACGCCUACUGCUGCAUUUAGUAUCCCGCCAGGAUUAUUUCUU